rnacentral:rRNA from 1 species
GACGAACGCUGGCGGCGUGCCUAACACAUGCAAGUCGAGCGGAGUCAGUAAGAGGAAGUUUUCGGAUGGAAUCUUAUUGAUUUAGCGGCGGACGGGUGAGUAACGCGUGAGCGACCAACCUUGCACAGGGGGAUAACGGACCGAAAGGUUCACUAAUACCGCAUGAGACCACGGUGUUGCAUGACACAGAGGUCAAAGGAGCAAUCCGGUGCAAGACGGGCUCGCGUCCGAUUAGGUAGUUGGAGGGGUAACGGCCCACCAAGCCUAUGAUCGGUAGCCGACCUGAGAGGGUGAUCGGCCACAUUGGAACUGAGACACGGUCCAGACUCCUACGGGAGGCAGCAGUAGGGAAUAUUGCGCAAUGGACGGAAGUCUGACGCAGCGACGCCGCGUGAGCGAUGAAGGUCUUCGGAUCGUAAAGCUCUGUCCUUGGGGAAGAAGGUCUUCGGACUUGACGGUACCCAAGAAGAAAGCCCCGGUAACUACGUGCCAGCAGCCGCGGUAAAACG